rnacentral:rRNA from 1 species
AGGACAGGUGCUGCAUGGCUGUCGUCAGCUCGUGUCGUGAGAUGUUGGGUUAAGUCCCGCAACGAGCGCAACCCUUGCCUUUAGUUGCCAGCAGUUCGGCUGGGCACUCUAAAGGGACUGCCGGUGUUAAACCGGAGGAAGGUGGGGAUGACGUCAAGUCCUCAUGGCCUUUAUGACCAGGGCUACACACGUACUAUAAUGGCCGAUACAAAGGGCAGCGACAUCGCGAGGUGAAGCCAAUCCCAUAAAAUCGGUCUCAGUCCGGAUUGGAGUCUGCAACUCGACUCCAUGAAGUUGGAAUCGCUAGUAAUCGUGGAUCAGCAUGCCACGGUGAAUACGUUCCCGGGCCUC